rnacentral:snoRNA from 1 species
GUUCCGCAGCCUUACUCAGGGCUAUUUUUUUUUUUUUUUUUUUUGCCUGGAAAGUGCUCUGGCAUUGCCUGAGGGUAGAUGAGAAAGUACAUAUCCCUCCCCAAUAAGAUAUUGUUUUCUUAUGGGGCCUACAAGUUGAGCUGACAGU